AGAAAACUCCACUCGACAGAGUCGUUUGCCUUUCUAAUAUCCACCUUUAUCAAGCAUCUAGGUGACACGCCUUUAUUGGAAUAACGCUUUACAAGUUCAUGGCUAAUUAUCACAUUAUCUAAGAUGCUUCUUCCCUCAAUAAACGCAGCGUGGGAUGGUCCCACUAUAUUGUCCACUACUAGCUUCAGCCUCGCAGUUAGAACUUUGGAAAUGAGCUUGUAAAGGGUAGUGCAACAUGUUAUUGGCCGAAACUCUUUCACAAAAGUCGGAUUACAGACCUUGGGAACCAAUGUAACUGUGGUAGCAUUAAUACUCUACAGGAGUUUUCCAUUUUAAAAAUUCAAGUAUAGCUUGUAUUAUCUCAUCACCAAUUAAGUCCCAAUAAUGUUUGAAAAACUCAACUGGGAACCCAUCAAUUCCGGGUGAUUUGUCCAUUGGUAAACUCUGUAGAGCUAUAUUAAUCUCUUCCCUGGUCACAUCUUCAUUCAGUUGCCUUUGUUGUGUCAUGGGUAGACAAUGGCCAUUUCUAGCAAUAUCAACAUCAAUACUCUAGAGCUCAUGUGCGCUGGAACCUAAAAGACCUUUGAAAAACUGUAUAAACUCCUGUUGGUUUACUUUACUAUCUGUUACUGUAACACCUUGAGAGUUGCAAAUAGAAGACACCCUAUUUCUUGCUUGCCUAGCCUUCAUAAAACAUGAUAAUAUUUAGUAUUAGAGUCCCCGAAUGCAAUCCAUGUAGCCCUUGAUUUUUGGCGAAGCACCCUCUCCUGGAUAAGAAGACACUUUUCUCUUUGAGCCAAUGUGACCCCCUCUUCCUCAAUUAAUUGAGGGUUAAAAAGGUCACUGCUCAGUUGCAUCUGAAUAUUCAAUAAUUAUUCCUACAAGCCUUCUAGCUUCCUGUCAAUGUUAUUUACUUCUCUAUUCAUCUUAGUUGCACCUCUCUCUAUUAAUUUCAACUUUCUCCUGACUCUGUACAUAGUAUGCCCAGGUAUGUUUUGCCUCCAAAUCACGUUAACGAGUUCCUGAAAAUUUUAUUGUUGAAGUAAUGUGUUGUAGAGUCUAAAAGGUCUUGGAAUUUCUUGUCUCUGCACUUUAAUUCUUACAAUAAUAGGGGAAUGAUUUGACAUGUCCGAAGUGAGAUAAUGAGCUGUUAAGUUGCUGUAUUUCAAGAACCAGAGAUCAUUGCCAAAAAUCCAAUCUAUAAGACUAUACACCUUGAUAUCAACAUCUUGUUUAUUGCUCCAUGAGAAUCGGCAUCCACUUCUUGGUAGUUGUCCAAGCCUUGUGCCUUCAAUGCAAGAUUAAAAGUUUGCCACCUUAUUUGCUUGCACUGAUUGUCCAUUAAUCCUGUUAUUCACUGACAGAAUAGUAUUAAAAUCUCCUAAAACCACCCACGGUGCAGUAAUUCCAGCUUCAAUAUUUCUCAAUUGCUCCCAUAUACCAGCUCUGCCCUUAAUAAUGUUCAGUCCAUAGACAAAUGUCAUCAAACAUUGAAAUUUUGCACCCAAUUCAGUUAUAACACAAUGGACCAAUUGAGAGUCUGAAUACAAAACAUUUACUUUCGCCUUUUGACGUUUCCAACAUACCCAGAUCCUUCCAUAUGAAACUACUAGAUAGUCAGUAAAUACCUCCCAUUCAUCCCCUAAAUACUUCUUUAUUUUGUCAGCUUUGUGAGCUCUGACUUUAGUUUCUAAACACCCUAUUAAGUCUACUUUAUUUUUAAGCAGAAAGGAUUUGAGCACUUUCUUCUUGUGGGGCUGGUUAAUCCCCCUAACAAUCAAAGAUCAAAAGAUCAUGGGGGUUGUAGGCUGGCUUGAGUUCCCCUCGCAUUGCUCUUUGUGGGCUCCUCCCUCUCCUUAAUCCGGAAGGACUUAAUUAUGUUAGCUUCCAGGUACUUCUCUACAUCUUUUAUUUUUGUUGUAUGCCCAGAGGUGUCUUUAUCACCAUAUGCAACCUGUUGUUUACCUUUUAACUUUAUUCUCUCUUGUUUCUGUAUUGUAAGAGCUUUCACCUCAACAGUUUCAGUUGUGGUCUCUUGAGCUUUAGGUUCCUUAAGAUUUGUAUGCCACUCUUUCUUCCUUUGCUUAAGAGGUACCUUUUUCUUGUCUGGUUUUUGCGGCUUUCCUAAAGGAAUAGUGGAGCAAUUCACAGUAUGAUGAUCUAUUUGUAGGCAAGCUGGACAGUAAUUUGGUUUUCAUUCGCAUUAGAUCAUCUAUGCUUUGCAUUUUCCCUCCGUAUCUUCAAUUUGAAUGGCAUCUGGGAAUGGUAGUGAAGUAUCCAUCUCUAUCAACAUAUGUGCAGACGAGACUCUUUCACCUUGGUCUGUGAGCUUGUCUAUACAAAUAGGCUUCCCCAAGCAACUAGCAAUUUGACCUAGCUAGAUAGUCAGUAAAUACCUCCCAUUCAUCCCCUAAAUACUUCUUUAUUUUGUCAGCUUUGUGAGCUCUGACUUUAGUUUCUAAACACCCUAUUAAGUCUACUUUAUUUUUAAGCAGAAAGGAUUUGAGCACUUUCUUCUUGUGGGGCUGGUUAAUCCCCCUAACAAUCAAAGAUCAAAAGAUCAUGGGGGUUGUAGGCUGGCUUGAGUUCCCCUCGCAUUGCUCUUUGUGGGCUCCUCCCUCUCCUUAAUCCGGAAGGACUUAAUUAUGUUAGCUUCCAGGUACUUCUCUACAUCUUUUAUUUUUGUUGUAUGCCCAGAGGUGUCUUUAUCACCAUAUGCAACCUGUUGUUUACCUUUUAACUUUAUUCUCUCUUGUUUCUGUAUUGUAAGAGCUUUCACCUCAACAGUUUC
rnacentral:lncRNA from 1 species